GUAAUAUCACGUUGAAACACCGGUUCACUUACGAUCACCGAAGUUAAGAAACUUUGAGUCUGGUCAGUACCUUGAUGGGUUAACACUUAGGAAUACCAGGGGUUGUAAG